AACGAACGCUGGCGGCAUGCCUAACACAUGCAAGUCGAACGAGACCUUCGGGUCUAGGGUCGCACGGGUUCGUAACCCGUGGGAUCAUGCCCUUAUGUUCGGAAUAACUCUCCGAAAGGGGUGCUAAUACCGGACAAUAUCUUCGGACCAAAGGUUUAUGGCCUUUGGUUGGGCCGGCGUUGGAUUAGCUUUUUGGUAGGGUAAAAGCAUACCACGGCGUCGAUGCAUAGCUUGUCAGUGAGAAUGAUCAGCGACACUGAGGCUGAGAGGCGGCCGAGAAUCGUACGAGAGGACGAAGAGAGGAAUAUUGGACAAUGGGCGAAGGGCUGAUGCAGCAAGGCCGCGUGAGUGAUGAAGUCUUUAGGGUUGAAAAGCGCUUUUAACUGUGAUGAUAAUGACAGUACCGGGAGAAUAAGCGCCGGCUAACUACGUG
rnacentral:rRNA from 1 species